GCUCCGACUGAGCGAGGACGCCGCGGACGAUCGCCCCAGCCGAGAGUGGCGGCGGGGCCAACAGGAGGUUGCGCAGCCCCGCCUACUUUCCCUCCACCACGUCGCCCUGGGCCUGAGCUCGCCAAUCGAUCCACCACCUGGCCGCCGGCGUCAGCUCCGAUUUGGGGUCUGUUUGUCGGUUCCAAAACGCUUGUAGCUGGGGACGCCUUCAUUUUCCUCAGGAUCAGCUCAUUGCAGAUUCAUGGUGGGAGGCCACUGAUAUGGGCGAGUGGAACAUGGAGGAAGAUGGGUCAUCAGCAUGGACAGAGCAACCUCAACUGAACACCCAUAAACAAGGCAUUGACUUUUAGCAACACCGAUAUAGUCAUUCAGUAUGUAGAAAGAAACUGAAUAACCGGGAUGAUUCUGAAUGGUUAUUUAGUAGGCUCUGAGAUGAAGGCCCUUCCUGACAUUUUUAUCUAUCUUUCAUAUUUGCCCUUUUUGUCUUGUGAAUUCGGUCAGGUCGGGAUGAAGGCCCUUACUGACAUAUUUAUCUAUCUUUCAUAUCAUGGGAUUAUUUUCCAUCACUUUCUCAUAUAUAUAUGGAUUGGCUGAAUAGCUUUUCCAAGGUUUCCUCUU